rnacentral:rRNA from 1 species
AUUGAACGCUGGCGGCAUGCCUUACACAUGCAAAUCGAACGGUAACGGGCCUUCGGGUGCCGACGAGUGGCGAACGGGUGCGUAAUACAUCGGAACGUGCCCGAUCGUGGGGGAUAACGAGGCGAAAGCUUUGCUAAUACCGCAUACGAUCUACGGAUGAAAGCAGGGGACCGCAAGGCCUUGCGCGGACGGAGCGGCCGAUGGCAGAUUAGGUAGUUGGUGGGAUAAAAGCUUACCAAGCCGACGAUCUGUAGCUGGUCUGAGAGGAUGAUCAGCCACACUGGGACUGAGACACAGCCCAGACUCCUACGGGAGGCAGCAGUGGGGAAUUUUGGACAAUGGGCGCAAGCCUGAUCCAGCCAUGCCGCGUGCAGGAUGAAGGCCUUCGGGUUGUAAACUGAUUUUGUACGGAACGAAAAGCCUUCUUUUAAUACAGGAGGGUCAUGACGGUACCGUAAGAAUAAGCACCGGCUAACUACGUG